AGUGAACGCUGGCGGUAGGCCUAACACAUGCAAGUCGAACGGCAGCACAGUAAGAGCUUGCUCUUACGGGUGGCGAGUGGCGGACGGGUGAGGAAUACAUCGGAAUCUACUUUUUCGUGGGGGAUAACGUAGGGAAACUUCCGCUAAUACCGCAUACGACCUACGGGUGAAAGCCGGGGUUCUUCGGACCUUGCGCGAUUGAAUGAGCCGAUGUUGGAUUAGCUAGGUGGCGGGGUAAAGGCCCACAAAGGCCACGAUCGGAAGCUGGUCUGAGCGGAUGAACAGACAGACGGUAACUGAGACACGGCCCAGACACCUACGGGAGGCAGCAGUGGGGAAUAUUGGAGGAUGGGCGCAAGCCUGAUCCAGCCAUACCGGGUGAAUGAAGAAGGCCUUCGGGUUGUAAAGCCCUUUUGUUGGGAAAGAAAAGCAGCAGGUUAAUACCCCGCUGUUCUGACGGUACCCAAAGAAUAAGCACCGGCUAACUUCGUG
rnacentral:rRNA from 1 species